rnacentral:rRNA from 1 species
AUUGAACGCUGGCGGCAUGCCUUACACAUGCAAGUCGAACGGCAGCGCGGACUUCGGUCUGGCGGCGAGUGGCGAACGGGUGAGUAAUACAUCGGAACGUACCCUGUUGUGGGGGAUAACUAGUCGAAAGAUUAGCUAAUACCGCAUACGACCUGAGGGUGAAAGUGGGGGACCGCAAGGCCUCACGCAGCAGGAGCGGCCGAUGUCUGAUUAGCUAGUUGGUGGGGUAAAGGCCCACCAAGGCGACGAUCAGUAGCUGGUCUGAGAGGACGGGCAGCCACACUGGGACUGAGACACGGCCCAGACUCCUACGGGAGGCAGCAGUGGGGAAUUUUGGACAAUGGGGGCAACCCUGAUCCAGCAAUGCCGCGUGUGUGAAGAAGGCCUUCGGGUUGUAAAGCACUUUUGUCCGGAAAGAAAUCGCGCUGGUUAAUACCUGGCGUGGAUGACGGUACCGGAAGAAUAAGCACCGGCUAACUACGUGCCAGCAGCCGCCGUAA